rnacentral:rRNA from 1 species
AACGAACGCUGGCGGCAUGCCUAACACAUGCAAGUCGAACGAGACCUUCGGGUCUAGUGGCGCACGGGUGCGUAACGCGUGGGAAUCUGCCCUUGGGUUCGGAAUAACAGUUGGAAACGACUGCUAAUACCGGAUGAUGACGUAAGUCCAAAGAUUUAUCGCCCAAGGAUGAGCCCGCGUAGGAUUAGCUAGUUGGUGAGGUAAAGGCUCACCAAGGCGACGAUCCUUAGCUGGUCUGAGAGGAUGAUCAGCCACACUGGGACUGAGACACGGCCCAGACUCCUACGGGAGGCAGCAGUGGGGAAUAUUGGACACUGGGCGAAAGCAUGAUCCAGCGGUGCCGCGUGAGUGAUGAAGGCGUUAGGGGUGUAAAGCUCUUUUACCCGGGAUGAUAAUGACAGUACCGGGAGAAUACGCUGCGGAUAACUCCG